rnacentral:rRNA from 1 species
UACGUAGGGGGCAAGCGUUGUCCGGAAUCAUUGGGCGUAAAGCGCGUGUAGGCGGUCCGGUAAGUCCGCUGUGAAAGUCCAGGGCUCAACCCUGGGAUGCCGGUGGAUACUGUCGGGCUCGAGUCCGGAAGAGGCGAGUGGAAUUCCUGGUGUAGCGGUGAAAUGCGCAGAUAUCAGGAGGAACACCAAUGGCGAAGGCAGCUCGCUGGGACGUGACUGACGCUGAGACGCGAAAGCGUGGGGAGCAAACAGG